AAUNUAUCAUAAUCCACACACCGUGAAAUAUAAAUGUUGGCCACCUGUACUGCAGUAAUGUAGUACAGGGUGAGGUUUGUACGAGCGCAAGCCCGUGCAAGCCUCAGUCGCUGUGGGUGCAUAUACUUGUGUAUGCACCUUGGCGUCGGUCUUAAUUAACCAACCAACACCAAACCCUAAAUUAAUAUAAAUCGAGUGUUCAGCUUAGAGCUGACGCUCACUAACCAAGACAACUCUCAACAACGGAUAUCUUGGCUCUCAGAUCGAUGAAGAACGCAGCGAAAUGCGAUACGUAGUGUGAAUUGCAGAAAUACGUGAAUCAUCGAAUUUUUGAACGCAAAUUGCGCUCGAGGCUUCGGCCAAGAGCAUGUCUGCCUCAGCGUCGGGUUAAUAUCGCUCAUUACUCACCAUGGUGAGUAACCAAGCGGAACUGGCUGUCUCGGUAAGAUUAAUUUUUUACCGGGUCAGCUGAAGUGCAGAUGUUAAACCAUGGACCCGCUAUGGGCCUCUACUGGGUAGGCAACUUGUUGCUCAAUGCUUUAGUAGAUGGCUUAGGGACUGUGUUUGGCACAAAGCAGGAAUAUUCUUAAUUGAGUAUACCCCCUUUAUUUUCUCGACCUGAGCUCAGGCAAGA
rnacentral:sRNA from 1 species